UACGUAGGGUGCAAGCGUUAUCCGGAAUUAUUGGGCGUAAAGAGCUCGUAGGUGGCUUGUCACGUCGGGUGUGAAAGCUUGGGGCUUAACUCCAGGUCUGCAUUCGAUACUGGAUAGCUAGAGUUCGGCAGAGGGAAGCGGAAUUUCCGGUGUAGCGGUGAAAUGCGUAGAUAUCGGAAGGAACAUCAGUGGCGAAAGCGGACUUCCUGGACCAGAACUGACGAUCAGGCACGAAAGCGUGGG
rnacentral:rRNA from 1 species